CUUACAGAGAUGCUUUUUACAUGUGAUGCUUUCUUGGAAAAUAAAAUAUUCAAUUGACGUAAAUUUAAUCACUUUUUAAGUUGACUUCAAGGUAAUCAUUUUAAAGAAACAAUAAUAGUCCUUAUAAAGAAGGUGUGCGUUUAUAAGCCUAAAGCAGAUAUUUUAUCACAACUUAUCAGUAGAAAAUCCAGCUGAUUUCACAGAUGUAUUUCAUGCAUAAGGAAAACAAUAAUAGUCCUUAUAAAGAAGGGGGUACAUUUAUUAGCCUAUAGCAGAUAUCUUGUCACAACUUAUCAGUAGAAAAUCCAGCUGAUUUCACAGAUGUAUUUCAUGCAUAAGGACACAAAAAAUGAGAAGAAAAUCCUGACAGGAGGCCCAAAAAAUAAAGGGAGCAGAGAAAAGAUUAGA
rnacentral:lncRNA from 1 species